UUGAUGAAUUCGGGAGAGAAUGGAAGCGCAUGGUGCGUUUUCGUCGCCGAAGGGGCAAACGCACAAAACUCUCAGGCAAAUGUACCGAAUUUUGACG
rnacentral:ncRNA from 2 species